rnacentral:rRNA from 1 species
CAGUCGCCACGGUAAUACGUAGGUGGCAAGCGUUAUCCGGAAUUAUUGGGCGUAAAGCGCGCGUAGGCGGUUUCUUAAGUCUGAUGUGAAAGCCCACGGCUCAACCGUGGAGGGUCAUUGGAAACUGGGAAACUUGAGUGCAGAAGAGGAAAGUGGAAUUCCAUGUGUAGCGGUGAAAUGCGCAGAGAUAUGGAGGAACACCAGUGGCGAAGGCGACUUUCUGGUCUGUAACUGACGCUGAUGUGCGAAAGCGUGGGGAUCAAACAGGAUUAGAUACCCCUGUAGUCCCUGUCUCUAUACA